CCUAUAAUAUGUUACUCGGAAUUAAUCUACAGUAAACUGGACUCACAAUCUGCUCAUAAAAUUGAUGUGGUAUUCAAUCACGUUACGCGGUAUGUUUUUGGGUUGGCGAAAUACGAUCAUAUAUCUGAA